GAAGAAGAAGAAGAGGAGAGUGGAAGAGUAGCGGUAUCUGGCAACAUGGCCUCUAAAACAGUGCCAUGGUAGUCGAAGCAAGUGGCAUCCCUCACUGGCGCGGCACAGUGCAUGCUGGGAGGACACACGCGCGCCGCCCUUCCCCGCCCCUGCUCAGUGCCACUCGCGUCUGGCACUCCCGAGACACACCAGCGCUCUCAUUCACGCGCUCACUCGCUCACUCGCUCAGCUAUCGCGAGGUAAAUGAAUGUAUGUUCCCUCACUAAUUACCUGGAGAGAGGGAAACUUGUGAGGGGCAUUUCAGUGUUAGGAAACUACAACACACUAGCUGAAUCCAUGCUAGGAAGUGACGGUGUAUGUUCUGAAGGUGGAAAGUGACGAAGGAAAGUGGCAGUGGAUGUUCUGAAGGUGGAAAGUGACGGUGCAUUUUCUGAAGGUGGAAAGUGGACGAAGGAAAGUGGCAGUGGAUGUUCUGAAGGUGGAAAGUGAGAAGGUGACAUAACAAUUAAUAGAAAAUGAAGGAAUGAACAGGCAAAUGAGAUGAAUGAGUGAAGGAAGUGAAAGAAGGAAGGAAGGAAGGAAGGAAGGAAGGAAGGAAGGAAGGAAGGAAAGUUGAUGUGAGUGAAAUGAUUUAAGUGCAGUGAAGGAAGUGAUGAAGGAAGAUUGUAAGUAUAAAAUUCAACAAAGAUGAAGUGAUUUGAAGGAAGGAAAGAA